UACAGAGGGUGCAAGCGUUAAUCGGAAUCACUGGGCUUAAAGCGUGUGUAGGCGGGUCGUUAAGUGUCUUGUGAAAUCCCACCGCUCAACGGUGGAACUGCUGGGCAUACUGGCGAUCUUGAGCCACCUAGGGGCAGACGGAACAAGCGGUGGAGCGGUGAAAUGCGUAGAUAUCGCUUGGAACGCCGACGGUGAAAACAGUCUGCUGGGGGUGUGCUGACGCUGAGACACGAAAGCCAGGGGAGCGAACAGG
rnacentral:rRNA from 1 species